CCUACGGGAGGCAGCAGUGAGGAAUAUUGGUCAAUGGACGAGAGUCUGAACCAGCCAAGUAGCGUGAAGGAUGACUGCCCUCUGGGUUGUAAACUUCUUUUAUAUGGGAAUAAAUUGUUCCACGUGUGGGAUUUUGUAUGUACCAUAUGAUUACGGAUAGGCCAACUCCGUGCCCGCAGCAGCGGUACUACGGAGGAUCCGAGCGUUAUCCGGAUUUAUUGGGUUUAACGGGAGCGUAGGGGGAUUGUUAAGUCAGUUGUUAAAGUUUGCGGCUCAACCGUAAAAUUGCAGUUGAUACUGGCAGUCUUGAGUACAGUAGAGGUGGGCGGAAUUCCUGGUGUAGCGGUGAAAUGCGUAGAUAUCACGAAGAACUCCGAUGGCGAAGGCAGCUCACUGGACUGCAACUGACACUGAGGCUCGAAAGUGUGGGUAGCAAACAGGAUUAGAUACCCGAGUAGUC
rnacentral:rRNA from 1 species